AACGAACGCUGGCGGCAGGCCUAACACAUGCAAGUCGAAGGAGCAAGCCCUUUCGGGGGGUGGACACUGGCGCACGGGUGAGUAACGCGUGGGAAUCUACCCGGUCGGGGAGUAACCACUGGAAACGGUGGCUAAUACCGCAUACGCCGUAUUGGGAAAGCUUUAGCGCCCUGGGAUGAGCCCGCGUUAGAUUAGCUAGUUGGUGGGGUAACGGCCUACCAAGGCGACGAUCUAUAGCUGGUCUGAGAGGAUGAUCAGCCACACUGGGACUGAGACACGGCCCAGACUCCUACGGGAGGCAGCAGUGGGGAAUAUUGGACAAUGGGCGCAAGCCUGAUCCAGCCAUGCCGCGUGCGUGAAGAAGGCCUUAGGGUUGUAAAGCGCUUUCACUGGUGAAGAUGAUGACGGUAGCCAGAGAAGAAGCCCCGGCUAACUCCGUGCCAGCAGCCGCGGUAAUACGGAGGGGCAAGCGUUGUUCGGAAUUACUGGGCGUAAAGGGCGCGUAGGCGGAACAUUAAG
rnacentral:rRNA from 1 species